AAACUGCGAUACGUAGUGUGAAUUGCAGAAUUCAGUGAAUCAUCGAAUCUUUGAACGCAAAUUGCGCUGUCGGGUAUUCCUGACAGCAUGCUUGGCUGAGUAUCAUCUGGACAAAUCACACAAUUUUUUUUUGUGUGGAUAUGAGGUGUCACAUUGGAAACAAUGGGUCCCUUUAAAUGCAGGCAGGUGAAGGAUAUUAGCGUCCUUGUACCACUAGUGUGGCAAUUGUCCUCUGGACAUCAAGCACUAUGUCGGAACUAGGGCAUUAAGCUGAUGUCUCAAUCCUUAUUUUAAAACUCUUCUGAAAUUUUGAUCUCAGCUCAAGCAAGACUACCCGCUGAAUUUAA
rnacentral:misc_RNA from 1 species